AUACGGAGGGUGCAAGCGUUACUCGGAAUUACUGGGCGUAAAGCGCGCGCAGGCGGCCAUUUAAGUUGGAUGUGAAAGCCUACGGCUCAACCGUAGAACUGCAUCCAAAACUAUUUGGCUAGAGUGUGGGAGAGGAAGAUGGAAUUAGUUGUGUAGGGGUAAAAUCCGUAGAGAUAACUAGGAAUACCAAAAGCGAAGGCAAUCUUCUGGAACACUACUGACGCUGAGGCGCGAAAGCGUGGGGAGCAAACGGGAUUAGAAACCCUAGUAGUCC
rnacentral:rRNA from 1 species